rnacentral:rRNA from 1 species
UACGGGGGGAGCAAGCGUUGUUCGGAUUUACUGGGCGUAAAGGGCGCGUAGGCGGCCACGACAAGUCAGUUGUGAAAUCUCUGGGCUUAACUCAGAACGGUCAACUGAUACUGUCGGGCUAGAGUGCAGAAGGGGCAACUGGAAUUCUCGGUGUAGCGGUGAAAUGCGCAGAUAUCAGGAGGAACACCGGUGGCGAAGGCGGGUCUCUGGGCCGAUACUGACGCUGAGGAGCGAAAGCGUGGGGAGCGAACAGG